GGGGACGACACGGUUUCGACGGGAGCAGACGGGUUGUAAAUUGCGUGCCCAGGUCCUGGACCCUGGUAAAAAAUCCGGGAAUAUUAAAAUAAUUGGCGAUUAUUCAUACGCUUUGGCUGCUUAAUUAAAGCAGCCCGCUCUUGAAAAGCUGUUCCUGCCAGAUUUUCUUAAGAGCGUCGAAAAAGCAGGAUAGCCGGUUUAAGUGUCUGCAUUAAACCGGUGAAACAUUUGCAGGCUACACUGAAAUUUUUCCUGCCUGUUGGAUAAUUUCAGUGGAAAUUAAAAACAGGCUACGCACGUAGUAAUUUACAAUUUGUUGCUUUCGGACGUGGGUUCGAUUCCCACCGUCUCCACAA
rnacentral:tmRNA from 1 species